rnacentral:rRNA from 1 species
AGAGUUUGAUCCUGGCUCAGGAUGAACGCUGACAGAAUGCUUAACACAUGCAAGUCUACUUGAAUUUGGGUUUUUAACUUAGAUUUGGGUGGCGGACGGGUGAGUAACGCGUAAAGAACUUGCCUCACAGCUAGGGACAACAUUUAGAAAUGAAUGCUAAUACCUAAUAUUAUGAUAAUAGGGCAUCCUAUAAUUAUGAAAGCUAUAUGCGCUGUGAGAGAGCUUUGCGUCCCAUUAGCUAGUUGGAGAGGUAACGGCUCACCAAGGCGAUGAUGGGUAGCCGGCCUGAGAGGGUGAACGGCCACAAGGGGACUGAGACACGGCCCUUACUCCUACGGGAGGCAGCAGUGGGGAAUAUUGGACAAUGGACCAAAAGUCUGAUCCAGCAAUUCUGUGUGCACGAUGACGUUUUUCGGAAUGUAAAGUGCUUUCAGUUGGGAAGAAAAAAAUGACGGUACCAACAGAAGAAGUGACGGCUAAAUACGUGCCAGCAGCCGCGGUAAUACGUAUGUCACAAGCGUUAUCCGGAUUUAUUGGGCGUAAAGCGCGUCUAGGUGGUUAUGUAAGUCUGAUGUGAAAAUGCAGGGCUCAACUCUGUAUUGCGUUGGAAACUGUAUAACUAGAGUACUGGAGAGGUAAGCGGAACUACAAGUGUAGAGGUGAAAUUCGUAGAUAUUUGUAGGAAUGCCGAUGGGGAAGCCAGCUUACUGGACAGAUACUGACGCUAAAGCGCGAAAGCGUGGGUAGCAAACAGGAUUAGAUACCCUGGUAGUCCACGCCGUAAACGAUGAGUGCUAAGU